GCGUUCAGACAAAUAAUCCUCAGUUCAUUCUAAAGGCUCGUCCAGUUAAAAGCUUCCGACUUUAUUUGUGUGAAUAUUUGUAAAUUUUUGGGGAUUGUUGUGGCCUUUCUUGUAAUUGAAAGUUAUACGACGAAAGUGAAAAUUCAAACUACUUGACGGUCAAUUUAGCAGUGUUAUCCUAGUUAACACUAAUAUCUCUGUAAAGCUUAACUAAUAUCCCUAUCAAAAUGUGUUGCGGACCUUGCGGUGGUUGCUGUGGACCCUGCGGCGGUUGCUGCGGACCUUGCUACUCCUGCUGCGGACCCUGCUACUCCUGCUGCGGUCCAUAUUACUCUUGCUGUGGUGGUUGCUGUGGUGGCUGUGGACCCUGCUGUUGACAAGAAUCAAACGACAAACAAUGGCGUGAAAGUUGCAACAAAACCCUUAGUAAAUUUUCGUUGUGCACGGUAUAAAUAGAUAUGGAUGAGUCUAAAA